rnacentral:rRNA from 1 species
GCAAGUCGAGGGGCAGCAUGGUCUUCGGACCGAUGGCGACCGGCGCACGGGUGCGUAACGCGUAUGCAACCUACCCACUACAGGGGAAUAGCUUCCGGAAACGGAAAUUAAUACCCCAUAACACAUAAGUAUCGCAUGGUACUAAUGUUAAAGAUUUAUCGGUAGUGGAUGGGCAUGCGUAAGAUUAGAUUGUUGGUGAGGUAACGGCUCACCAAGUCUACGAUCUUUAGGGGUUUUGAGAGGAUGAUC